rnacentral:rRNA from 1 species
GAACGCGAAGAACCUUACCAGGUCUUGACAUCCCUCUGACCGCUACUAGAGAUAGAGUUUUCCUUCGGGACAGAGGUGACAGGUGGUGCAUGGUUGUCGUCAGCUCGUGUCGUGAGACUGUUGGGUUAAGUCCCGCAACGAGCGCAACCCCUAUUGUUAGUUGCCAUCAUUUAGUUGGGCACUCUAGCGAGACUGCCGGUAAUAAACCGGAGGAAGGCUGGGGAUGACGUCAAAUCAUCAUGCCCACUUAUGACCUGGGCUACACAGCGUGCUACAAUGGCUGGUACAACGAGUCGCAAGUCGGUGACGACAAGCUAAUCUCGUUAAAGCCAGUCUCAGUUCGGAUUGUAGGCUGCAACUCGCAUACAUGAAGUCGGAAUCGCUAGUAAUCGCGGAUCAGCACGCCGCGGUGAAUACGUUCCCGGGUCUUGUACACACC